rnacentral:rRNA from 1 species
GAUGAACGCUGGCGGCGUGCCCAAUACAUGCAAGUCGAGCGAACUUUUGGGAGCUUGCUCCCAAAAGUUAGCGGCGGACGGGUGAGUAACACGUGGGUAACCUGCCUGUAAGACUGGGAUAACUUCGGGAAACCGGAGCUAAUAUCGGAUAACAUUGAAGACAACAUGGCCUUCAAUUAAAAGUUGGCCUUUACCUAACACUUACAGAUGGACCCGCGGCGCCUUAGUUAGUUGGUGAGGUAACGGCUCACCAACGGGACGAUGCGUAACCGACCUGGGAGGGUGGUCGGCCCAACUGGGAAUGGGGAACGGGCCAAGCUCCUACGGGGAGCAGCAGGAGGGGAACAUUCGCAAAGGACGAAAGUCUGACGGAGCAACGCCGCGUGAGGGAAGAAGGCCUUCGGGUCGUAAAGCUCUGUUGUUAGGGAAGAACAAGUAUCGUGCGAAUAGGGCGGUACCUUGACGGUACCUAAACAGAAAGCCACGGCUAACUACGUG